GUGGGGAAUAUUGGACAAUGGCCGGAAGGCUGAUCCAGCCAUGCCGCGUGCGGGAGGACGGCCCUAUGGGUUGUAAACCGCUUUUGCGAGGGAGCAAUAAGGGUAACGUGUUGCCCGAUGAGAGUACCUCGCGAAUAAGCAUCGGCUAACUCCGUGCCAGCAGCCGCGGUAAUACGGAGGAUGCAAGCGUUAUCCGGAUUUAUUGGGUUUAAAGGGUGCGUAGGCGGUUUGCUAAGCGGGAGGUGAAAUGCCGGCGCUCAACGUCGGAAGUGCCUCCCGAACUGGUGGACUGGAAUGACUCUGCCGUGGGAGGAAUGUGUAGUGUAGCGGUGAAAUGCUUAGAGAUUACACAGAACACCGAUUGCGAAGGCAUCUCACGAAGGGUUGAUUGACGCUGAGGCACGAAAGCGUGGGGAUCAAACAGG
rnacentral:rRNA from 1 species